rnacentral:rRNA from 1 species
AUUGAACGCUGGCGGCAGGCCUAACACAUGCAAGUCGAGCGGAGCGGCGGACGGGUGAGUAAUGACUAGGAAUCUGCCUGGUAGUGGGGGAUAACGUCCGGGAACGGGCGCUAAUACAGCAUACUAUCAGAUGAGCCUAGGGCGGAUUAGCUAGUUGGUGGGGUAAAGGCCUACCAAGGGUACGAUCCGUAACUGGUCUGAGAGGAUGAGCAGUCAAACUGGAACUGGUACCCGGUCCAGACUCCUACGGGAGGAAGCAGGGGGGAAUAUUGGACAAUGGGCGAAAGCCUGAGCCAGCCAUGCCGCGUGUGUGAAGAAGGUCUUCGGAUUGUAAAGCACUUUAAGUUGGGAGGCGUUACCAACAGAAUAAGCACCGGCUAACUUCGUGCCAGCAGCCGCGGUAAUAC